UCAUUUUUGGCGAAACGUCCUAAACUUAUUUUUUGAAUGAUUGGAACAAUUUGAUGCAACACAUCCAUCCAUAUUUGUCAAAAUUAAGUCGGAAUCGACCAACAAAUAUGUCAACAAAAGGACACUGUAAAAUAGCGAUAGCAACAAGCACGCUUCGUUCGUUACAACGGACGACGCAUCAAAUCCCCGAUGACCACAACUUGUGACGUCACAAAACCGCCAUCUGGCUUGUAGUAGAGUCGGUGUUGGUAGAUAUCUAGUUGGCCUUGGAAAGGGGCGCAAAAUCUUCAGUUGUCCCCGGGCACUGAAAACCCUAGUUACGCCUUUGUAGGUAGUGCGAGGUAAUGUGGGAAGAAGUUUUAUUCAGUCCUAAAAUUCCUAUCAAUCAAUGGCAAAGCUGGAGCUUUUCUGCCUAGGGUAAUCCAUUUGUGUAUGAAAAGAUCUAUUAAAUUUCAAAACGGCAUAUAGAGGAGUAAAUAAAAGUUCUGUAUUUAUUUUUUAAAUAAAACCUUAUUUCCAACAUUCUAAAA